rnacentral:rRNA from 1 species
AACGAACGCUGGCGGCAUGCCUAACACAUGCAAGUCGAACGAGACCUUCGGGUCUAGUGGCGCACGGGUGCGUAACGCGUGGGAACCUGCCCUUAGGUUCGGAAUACCUCCCCGAAAGGGGUGCUAAUACCGGUUAAUGUCUUCGGACCAAAGAUUUAUCGCCUUUGGAUGGGCCUGCGUUGGAUUCGCUAGUUGGUAGGGUAAAAGCCUACCAAGGCGACGAUCCAUGGCUGGUCUGAGAGGAUGAUCAACCACACUGGCAAUGAGACACGGCCCAGACUCCUACGGGAGGCAGCAGUAGGGAAUAUUGGAGGAUGGGGGAAAGCCUGAUCCAGCAAUGCCGCGUGAGAGAGGAAGGCGUUAGGGUUGUAAAGCUGUUUGACACGGGAUGAUAAUGACAGUAACGGGAGAAUAAGCACCGGCUAACUCCGUG